GCUGCUCUACGGAUUCUUCAUCACCAACUUCUUCAUCUGCAGCUGGUUCAUAAAUAGGUGUUUCAUGUGUACCUUCUUUAGGUAAAGCUUCUUCAUGUGCACCUUGUUCAGCUGCAGCUUCUACAUGUGUUGUUGCUUCAUGUGCGUCACCUUCUGCUGCUUCUUCAUUCCCCUCACCAGCAACAUGAACGGAAGGAUAUUGUUCAAAUUUUCUCAUCUUUCUUUGAUGACUAAGUUCCUUCCUUAAAGCAGCUAUUUCAUCCUUUAGGUUUCUCAUUCUUUCGUUGUUUCUUUUUAUUUUCUCCACUCUUGAAGCAAGUGCAGAUUCAUAAC
rnacentral:lncRNA from 1 species